UAAGGAUUCUCCACUGUCCCCAAAGCCACCAAAUCCACUUCCACCCCAUCCCUAUUCAAUAACGCCUUCCUAUCUCUAUCCACAUCCCCAAAAUUCUCACUCAUAAUCGAACCACUCUUAUUAUUAUUACCAUCAUAAGAAUCAACAUUAGCAUUAACCACAAGAGUCGAGUUGGCAUCGUUCUUCACCAUUUCAAGUUGACAGGGGCGACCCCUUUUCCGUUUAUGGUUAACAGGUACCACAUUGGACGAGGAUGAGGAGGGAAAUGACGAUAAUUGUUGGGGGAGGGAAUAAUUGUAAUCUAUUUUAACAGGGACUACGUCUUCAGGGUUGGAGUUGGAAACAAAUAAUUGCUUAAGUAAAGCGAUAAUCUGAGGGUUUUCUUCCUUCUCUGGAACAGAAUUACCAUUAUUACAGUUCGUAACGGCUGUAGGGCGGGAAUGAGGAGUGCGGCGCCGAGGGGCUGAUGAAGCGGCGGACGAGGAAGAGGAGGCAGGAGCGAGACGAUAGCGGGAAUAAGUCUGUUUGCGGGAGCCAGCGGACUCAUUGAAGACGCUCCGGUCGAUUUUUGGAACUGCCACAUCGUCACAGCGGAGGGGGCCGACGGCGGAGGAAGAGCAUUGAGAGAGGGAAUAAAGUUCGGAUUGGGAUAGUAACCGGAUAUCUACAAUGGGUAUUGAGUCUGCUUGGAGAGGGACAUCAUCAGCGGUGGCGGAGGUGACAAUAGAGGUGGAAUCGACGGUGGCGGAGGCCAUGUUAAAUUGUUGGAAAUGACAGAGAGGAUCGUACGGAUUAUUCAAGGGAAAUUGGCUGGGAUAGCC
rnacentral:lncRNA from 1 species